GACGAACGCUGGCGGCGUGCUUAACACAUGCAAGUCGAACGGAUUGUCGAACGGGUGAGUAACACGUGGGUGACCUGCCCUGCACUUCUGGUUAAGCCUGUGAAACUGGGUCUAAUACCGGAUAGUGUGGGAUGGGCCCGCGGCCUAUCAGCUUGUUGGUGGGGUAAGGGCCUACCAGGGCGGCGACGGGUGGCCGGCCUGAGAGGGUGGACGGCCAAAUGGGGGCUGAGACACGGCCCAGACGCCGACGGGAGGGAGAAGGGGGGAAGAUUGCACAAUGGGCGGAAGCCUGAUGCAGCGACGACGAGUGGGGGAUGACGGCAUUCGGGUUGUAAACUCCUUUCACCAUCGACGAGGUAGAUGGAGAAGAAGCACCGGCUAACUACGUGCCAGCCGCCGCGGUAAUUC
rnacentral:rRNA from 1 species